ensembl:lncRNA
UUUCCGCUUCUUUCCCCAAUUUUCCCUGCUUUUUUCCCACUUUUUUUUCCCAGUAUUUUCCCUUUUUCUGCUUUUUUCCCCACUUUUUCCCCACUUUUUUCCCCCCACUUUUUUCCCUUUUUCCUGCUUUUUUUAGCUUUUUCUGCUUUUUUCCCCAAUUUUUCCCACUUUUUUUUCUUUUUCCCCAUUUUUAUUACAUUUUUCCUGCUUUUUCCCACUUUUUUCCCCGCUUUUUCCCACUUUUUUCCUGCUUUUUCCCACUUUUUUCCCCACUUUUCCUGUGCAUUUUUGGUGGUGAAGGUCAGGAAAAAACCUGGGAUUUGACAUUUUCCAAAUUUCCCAUGGAAUCUUCUGGGAUUUGUCCACUUGGGGUUGGGAUUUUCCUCCUUUCCCAUGGAGUUUUCUGGAAUCUGGGGUGGAACUUGGGAUUUUCCAUGGAAUUUGGCCAUUUGGGGUUGUUCUUUCCGUCAUUUCCCACGGAAUUCCCCAGGAUUUUCCCAUUUUUUUUCCCUGCAGGUCCUGAUGGCCGCAGAAUCCCAGGAAUGCCGCCCGUCCUUUUUCCCGGGAAGCUCCUGGGGUGGCUCCAACGUGUUCCCAAAAUUCCCCCUUUUCCCAAUAAAAAGCGGGGAAGCCACAAGGAUUUUUCAGAAUCUUUUUUAAUCCCGAAUUUUCCUGUUAUUCCCGGUUUUUUUCCCCUGCUUCCCGAGGGAAUCCAAGGCUGGAAUAAAAGCAGGGACACCCCACUCCCUCCAGGGAUCCAUAAAAUCCUCGUGAUCCUCAAAAUCCUUGGGAAUUUUUGGGAAUGUCCCCAGAGCAGGGAAAAGAAACAGCGCCAGGAAUUUGGGGAGGGAAAUCCCAUUUUUUUUUUAGGGAAUUCUUCUGUUUUCUUGCCUUUUCCAAACCCAGAGCGACCGGAAGUUGAGAAUUUUUGGGAAUUUUUGGGCUGGGAAUGCGGUCAGUGGGAAUGGAAAGAGGAGACUGGGGAUGGGGAUGGUGGGAUUGGGAUUGGGGACAUUGGGAAUGGGGACACUGGGAUUGCAGACAUUGGGAAUGGAUUGGGGAUAUUGGGAAUGGGAUUGCGAUCGGGGACACUGGGAAUGGGAAUGGUGACAUUGAGAAUGGGAUUGGGGACAUUGGGAUUGGGGAUGUUGGGAUUGGGGACACCGGUAAUGGGAAUGGUGACACUGGGAAUGGGAUUGGGGACACUGGGAAUGGGGACAUUGGGAUUGGGGACGUUGGGAUUGGGGACACUGGGAAUGGGAAUGGUGACAUUGAGAAUGGGAUUGGGGGCACAGGGAAUGGGAAACUGGGACUGGGGACACUGGGAAUGGGGAUGAUGGGAUUGAGGACACUGGGGACAUUGGGAAUGGGGACACUGGGAAUGGGAAACUGGGAUGGAAUGGGGACAUCAGGAAUGGGACACUGGGAUCGAGGACACUGGGGUCGGGGACACUGGGAAUGGGGACACCAGGACAGGAUUUGUCACCUUCCCUGCCCCGUUCCUGGGAUUCCUACCCGGAGCCACCCCUCGGACACUGUCAGUCCUUGUGGGAUUUCUUGGGAAUUCCAGGAUUUGCUAGGAAUUCCAUCGGUCCUUGCAGGAUUUACUGGGAAUUCUGGCAUUUACUGGGAAUUGCCUUGGUCCUUGCAGGAUUUACUGGGAAUUCUGUCAGUCCCUGUGGGAUUUACUGGGAAUUCUGGGAUUUACUGGGAAUUUGUUGGUCCUUGUGGGAUUUGUUGGGAGUUCUGGGAUUUGUUCAGAAUUCCAGGAUUUCCCGGAAUUCUGGGAUUUACUGGGAAUUGCGGCGCCUCAGGCCGAUGGCCAGCACGGCUCCGGCCACCACCACUGUGGCCACAGCUGCGGCCAGCGCCGUCCCCAGGGCCAGCGGGGUCACCGCGCCUGCAAAGGGACACAGAGGGGACAUCACUGGGGACAUCAUUGGGAACAUCAUUGGGGACAUCACUGGGGACAUCAUUGGGGACAUCAUUGGGGACAUCAUCGGGGACAUCACUGGGGACAUCAUUGGGGACAUCAUUGGGGACAUCAUUGGGGACAUCACUGGGGACAUCAUCAGGGACAUCAUUGGGGACAUCACUGGGGACAUCAUCGGGGACAUCACUGGGGACGUCAUUGGGGACAUCACUGGGGACAUCACUGGGGACAUCAUCGGGGACAUCAUUGGGGACAUCAUUGGGGACAUCACUGGGGACGUCAUUGGGGACGUCAUUGGGGACAUCACUGGGGACAUCACUGGGGACAUCAUUGGGGACAUCAUUGGGGACAUCAUUGGGGACAUCACUGGGGACAUCACUGGGGACGCAAUUGGGGACGUCAUUGGGGACAUCAUUGGGGACAUCAUCAGGGACAUCAUCGGGGACAUCACUGGGGACCUCCACCGGCUGUCACUGCUGUCACUGA